UACGUAGGGACCGAGCGUUGUCCGGAAUCAUUGGGCGUAAAGAGCGUGUAGGCGGUUUGGUAGGUCCGCUGUGAAAACUCGAGCUCAACCUCGAGACGCCGGUGGAAACCAUCAGACUAGAGUCCGGAAGAGGAGAGUGGAAUUCCUGGUGUAGCGGUGAAAUGCGCAGAUAUCAGGAAGAACACCCGUGGCUAAGGCGGCUCUCUAGUACGGUACUGACGCUGAGACGCGAAAGCGUGGGGAGCGAACAGG
rnacentral:rRNA from 1 species